rnacentral:rRNA from 1 species
AUUGAACGCUGGCGGCAGGCUUAACACAUGCAAGACGAGCGGAGAUGAGGUGCUUGCACCUUAUCUUAGCGGCGGACGGGUGAGUAAUGCUUAGGAAUCUGCCUAUUAGUGGGGGACAACAUUCCGAAAGGAAUGCUAAUACCGCAUACGCACUACGGGGGAAAGCAGGGGAUCUUCGGACCUUGCGCUAAUAGAUGAGCCUAAGUCGGAUUAGCUAGUUGGUGGGGUAAAGGCCUACCAAGGCGACGAUCUGUAGCGGGUCUGAGAGGAUGAUCCGCCACACUGGGACUGAGACACGGCCCAGACUCCUACGGGAGGCAGCGGUGGGGAAUAUUGGACAAUGGGCGGCAGCCUGAUCCAGCCAUGCCGCGUGUGUGAAGAAGGCCUUUUGGUUGUAAAGCACUUUAAGCGAGGAGGAGGCUACCUGGAUUAAUACUCUAGGAUAGUGGACGUUACUCGCAGAAUAAGCACCGGCUAACUCUGUGCCAGCCGCCGCGGUAAAAC